GUUGCCUAUAUUUGGACCCAGAAUGACUUCUUUAAACGACUUCCUCGUCAGCACCUGACCUGGUGCCCACAGCUACACCAGAACAAGAGAUUCUUAAGCUCAUUGGUGGAGUUUUCAUCCCACCAGGGACCAGGAGAGGAAAGAUGAGUGUGAUCUCCUCCUCCUCAGUCACACAGGCCAGAAUUCCAUGCUUGGCAACUCAUGAACAACAGAGGGGAGUACUGAAAACUUUGGGAAGAGGAAGCCCUUUCCUAAUAAAUGGAUGUUGACUGCAAGUUGUAAAACAGCAUUGGACUUUACUGGAAAGGUAAUCGAUGUCCUGGUUUCUGUCUUACCAAAGUUCUGCAAUCUCAUCAGAAACACAGGAAUAAAUAUUUAGCUUCCUUCCCCUUAACCCCCGUCACCAAAGCUUUCUGGAUGCAAGGUGUUAGCCUUUGCAUCAGUUUAUUGAUCCUUUCCUGUAGGAUCUAACUUGCUUCAGGGGCACUAUAAAUACAAUAUUGCAAAAGUGCUGCCAUAUCAAUAUUCAUUUAUUUUUAUUGAUUAGUUGCCACUUGUAAAUUCUGGGUACUGAAUUAAUGGAUGCUGAAUAACUGCUUCGAUUAAUGAAGCUAAAAUUGGCUUUAACAUUCUACGCUAACUACAGAAUUUUUUUUUUUUAUUACAAAGCUAAUUAUUUCUUUUUUUACAAUCUGCAAUUC